UACAGAGGUGGCAAGCGUUGUUCGGAUUUAUUGGGCGUAAAGGGUUCGUAGGCGGUCUGAAAAGUCAGGUGUGAAAUCUCACAGCUUAACUGUGGAACUGCAUUUGAUACUGUCAGACUAGAGUGUGGAAGGGGUGAAGGGAAUUCCUGGUGUAAGGGUGAAAUCUGCAGAGAUCAGGAAGAACACCUGUCGCGAAGGCGCUUCACUGGCCCACUACUGACGCUGAGGGACGAAAGCUAGGGGAGCAAAC
rnacentral:rRNA from 1 species